rnacentral:rRNA from 1 species
GACGAACGCUGGCGGCCUGCCUAAUACAUGCAAGUAGAACGCUGAAGGAGGAGCUUGCUUCUCUGGAUGAGUUGCGAACGGGUGAGUAACGCGUAGGUAACCUGCCUGGUAGCGGGGGAUAACUAUUGGAAACGAUAGCUAAUACCGCAUAAGAGUAGAUGUUGCAUGACAUUUGCUUAAAAGGUGCAAUUGCAUCACUACCAGAUGGACCUGCGUUGUAUUAGCUAGUUGGUGAGGUAACGGCUCACCAAGGCGACGAUACAUAGCCGACCUGAGAGGGUGAUCGGCCACACUGGGACUGAGACACGGCCCAGACUCCUACGGGAGGCAGCAGUAGGGAAUCUUCGGCAAUGGACGGAAGUCUGACCGAGCAACGCCGCGUGAGUGAAGAAGGUUUUCGGAUCGUAAAGCUCUGUUGUAAGAGAAGAACGAGUGUGAGAGUGGAAAGUUCACACUGUGACGGUAUCUUACCAGAAAGGGACGGCUAACUACGUG